UGGGGAAUAUUGCACAAUGGGCGCAAGCCUGAUGCAGCGACGCCGCGUGAGGGAUGACGGCCUUCGGGUUGUAAACCUCUUUCAGUAGGGACGAAGCGCAAGUGACGGUACCUAUAGAAGAAGGACCGGCCAACUACGUGCCAGCAGCCGCGGUAAUACGUAGGGUGCGAGCGUUGUCCGGAAUUAUUGGGCGUAAAGGGCUCGUAGGCGGUUUGUCGCGUCGGGAGUGAAAACAUCUGGCUUAACUGGGUGCUUGCUUUCGAUACGGGCAGACUGGAGGUAUGCAGGGGAGAACGGAAUUCCUGGUGUAGCGGUGAAAUGCGCAGAUAUCAGGAGGAACACCGGUGGCGAAGGCGGGUCUCUGGGCAACAACUGACGCUGAGGAGCGAAAGCGUGGGGAGCGAACAGGAUUAGAUACC
rnacentral:rRNA from 1 species